UGACGGAGCGACGCCGCGUGGAGGAUGAAGUCUUUCGGGAUGUAAACUUUAAUAGUAUGGCAGGAAGCAAAAGGGGCUAAUACCCUCUUAGUUGACCGCCAUACGAAAGGGGUGGCUAACUCCGUGCCAGCAGCCGCGGUAAUACGGAGACCCCUAGCGUUGUUCGGAAUCACUGGGCUUAAAGCGUGUGUAGGCGGAGCGGUAAGUGCUUUGUGAAAUCCCCGGCCUCAAUCCGGGAAUUGCUUGGCAUACUGUCGCUCUUGAGGCAGGUAGGGGUCGCUGGAACGUUAGGUGGAGCGGUGAAAUGCGUAGAUAUCUAACGGAACGCCUGUGGCGAAAGCGGGCGACUGGGCCUGUCCUGACGCUGAGACGCGAAAGCGUAGGGAGCAAACGGGAUUAGAUACCCCGGUAGUCUACGCCGUAAACGAUGCGCACUAGGUACGAGGGGCUCUGACGCCGAUCGUGCCGAAACAAAAGCGAUAAGUGCGCCGCCUGGGGAGUACGGCCGCAAGGCUA
rnacentral:rRNA from 1 species